AGGGCCGUUGUUCCAGGGAGAAUUGUAAGUACCUCCAUCCUCCUGGUCACCUGAAGACCCAGCUGGAGAUCAACGGUAGGAACAAUCUGAUCCAGCAGAAGAACAUGGCCAUGUUGGCCCAGCAGAUGCAGCUCGCCAACGCCAUGAUGCCUGGCACACAGCUUCAGCCUAUGGUGAAUCUCUAUGACCUGGUCCAAGACAGCAACAGGUUCAGCUUACAUCAACCUAUGUUCCCCAUGGCGCCAGGUCUGGCCACCAAUGCCAGCGCUGCGGCUUUCAACCCGUACCUGGGCCCGGUGUCACCCGGCCUGAUGCAGCCAGAGAUCAUGCCCAGUCCACAGGUCCUCAUGGCAGGCCACCCCAACCACGGACAGGUCCCCAACGCUGCUGCCGCUGCAGCACAGAAACUCAUGAGGACAGACAGGCUGGAGGUUUGUCGUGAGUACCAGCGUGGCAACUGCUCCCGGGGGGAGAACGACUGUCGCUUCUCCCACCCCUCCGACAGCACCAUGAUAGACACCAACGACAACACGGUCACCGUGUGUAUGGACUACAUCAAGGGCCGCUGCUCCAGGGAGAAGUGCAAGUACUUCCACCCUCCGGCCCACCUGCAGGCCAAGAUCAAGGCCGCCCAGCACCAGGUCAACCAGGCCACCGCCGCUGCAGCCAUGACUCAGUCGGCUGUCAAAUCACUGAAGCGACCCCUCGACGCAACCUUUGACCUGUACCCAUGAUGCACGGUGGUACGCCAGCAUCUGCAGCCACUACAUCCUGCCACAAGCGUUCCCUUCGCAACCACCUCAGCCAAUCAGUUGACUACCAAUGAGUACAUGCAAUUGAUUCCAAUCAUUUCUGCCGAUCAUCUGAGUAACCACAAGUAUCUGACUCAAAUGUAGUCAAGAACAAUCAAAUGUUUGGUUGAUGGCACCGUCCAAGCCUAAAGAGUUCAGCCUUUAUGUAAAUAGUGUUCAGAAUGUCAAGCAAUGGACUGGAGGACCAUCGGUCAUCAUCUCUCAGCCACUCUGGAAUGCUGGUCUUGUUACGCAUGCAAACAUCGGUGUGCUCGGUCGAUGCCAUGACACACACACACAGACACACACACACACACACACACACACCCUCGUCCUCCAAGUCAAUGUCCAGCUGAGAAGAGGAGUGUCUGUCUGUCUGUCCAUCUCUGCUGACAGACAGACACUGAGUACAUUAACAGUACACCUGUUUGUUCAAACACAAAACCAUGGCACUCAAAUUAUUUUUUAUAUAUUUUUUGCACACACCUGAGGUUGAGACCGAGGUGUUGUUGCAUCUACCCUGCAUAAUACAGUGUUGGUACGUUGGUAGACCAAGACACCAUUUUUUAUUCGCUUUGUUCUGUUUUUAAAGUAAUCGACUUAAAACAUUUGCAAACGUGCCCCUUAAAUUUAAAUUUAAAUCAGAAAGGCACAAUACAUUUUAAAAGGGCGAAACGUCAGAGCAUGUACAGUUUUCUGUUUUUAAUAAGGCUUCUAGUUAAACUAGAUACUAAAAUGAGGGUCAGAGACAUAUGAAUGUUCUGGGUAAGAAACACACCUGUGUACCUUUUGAAAGCACAGCUUUAAGCACCAUAGAGGCCAUACAUCCCAAGCCAGAGUGUUAGUUCAGCAGUGUUAUUCUGUUUACCUAAGAUAUGUGUUUUGUAUGGCUCAAGUUUAGAUUUUUACAUAAUUUCUUCAUUGUCUAUUUAAGUAAUAAGGCCCGAGGGGGUGUGGUAUAUGGCCAAUAUACCACGGCUAAGGGCUGUUCUUAAGCACGACGAAGCGCGGAGUGCCUGGAUACAGACCAUAGCCGUGGUAUAUUGGCCAUAUACCACAAUCUCCCGAGGUGCCUUAUUGCUAUUAUAAACUGGUUACCAACGUAAUUAGAGCAGUAAAAAUAAUAAAUGUUUUGUCAUACCCGUGGUAUACGGUCUGAUAUACCACGGCUGUCAACCAAUCAGUAUUCAGGGCUCGAACCACCCAGUUUAUAAUUGUUUUUUAAACAUUGUACCAUUUGCUUUGUUGUUGGGGUUGUCUCCAGCCUUUUAAGUCGUCAGUCUCCUACAUCUAAAAACAGAGGUGCCUUUUCUCUUUUUAUCGAUCUGUUUUUGUUUCGCCUUUCUUUUUGUGCUUUAUUGUGGUGUUUAUCAGACGGGCUGAGCUCAUGGUGACUGAGGAGGUGUAAGUCCGUAGACUCUAAAGCCUGUUGAAGUGAUGUUGGACGUACUAGCUCUCCAUCAGGUGUUAAUUCCUUGUUCUCAGCCUUAAAGGUGGAGAGAUUCUAAAACUGUGUCUGCAAAGAAGCACCGUAAAACCAUGUGUUGUUAAAGUAAGAAAGUCAGACUUAAAUUAGGUCAUAAGAAGAUUUGGCACUUGGUUGAGUGUUUUUGUGCUUCCCCUACCCCAUUACCCCUCUAUAGGCUAAUUUAACUUUAAUUGAGGUAAUACAACAAAAUCAUUGAUUUGAUAUUAAUCAAAAAAUAACGAAAAUCUUUCCCUUUUUGGACCUGAUUUAAUCCGGUUCUGGAUACCAAAGCACAGUUCUGCUCAUGCACGAAGUGUUACCGAAGUAUAUGACCAAAUUCAGGAAGGUUCAACACAGAAUUGGGGGAGCAGAGAAUGAAUUUCAGAACCCUUGUUUUCACAUGCCAUUAUGUUCUGUGAUUUCAUUUGUUGUUUUUUCUGUUUUGGCUGAGGUGUAAAAUCUCUUUACUGAUUGUAAUGUACCUAAUACCUAUUCAAUUGUAUCUAUUGAAGCCUUAGAUUACUGGACUGGGUCCCAACCCAAUCACAUGUACUUUCAAUCCCCAUACAGGCAAUGAACACCAAUGAUAUUUUAUAGUCCGUACACAUACUGCAUGUGUUUUAGAAUUUUUUUUCUUUUUUUUUCUCAAGUAACAAUUUACUCUCUUAAAUUUCAUUGAACUCAUGUGUUAUGUAUUACUUAAGGAUUUGAAUAUAUUUGAAUAUUUAGUUUGUAGGUUUUUGCCUUAUUAUAUUCUACUUGACAAUAUUGUUAAAUAGCCGUUGUAGACUGAGGUGGUAUUACAUCCAUAACUUUUUUAAACCAUAUUCAUGAUUAAUAAUAAUGUGUGGAGUCAGAUAAAGUAUUCAGAUCAUUCAUGUAGCUGGAUGUCUCUUUAGAUUGAAGAGGUUCAUUAUCAAUUACUUUUGUUGAUCAAAGACCUUUUGAUAUUGAUACAAGGAAUGACAUUGAUUUGAUCAGUUGGUAGGUUGCCAAGGCAUCAACUCUGGCUGAAAACGAAUGUUUCAACUAGCUCUUUUUUCUUUGAGGUCUUGUUUGAAAAUAUAUUGUGUCGAAAUGUAGAUUGUCCAUGUUUAGGGAAGGAGAAAACAAGUUAUUUUCUACUUUAUCCAUUUCAAAAAAAAAUAUUGUUUUAAUAUUUCUUAAGAUUGCCCUGAAUAUCAGGCCAAAAUGAACGGUGAGAUUGAUGGGUCUCUGGAGUUGGGUAAAUAGUGAGAUGAGAGGUGAAGUAGUAGACUUUCCCGAAUCAGGAAGGUCUGUAAUGCUGCAGAUGAACGAUCUUUAAACUAAGGGACGAAGGUUGACUUUUUGCACUUCUGUAUAUAGUCAAUGAACAGAGAAAAAACAUGUAUCAUAUUGAGAUAUUAUUUUGAAUAAAAAAUUCUAUAAUUAUAAGGAAUUUUGUUAGGUUAAUUUAAAACAUCUAAACUGAAAGACCAGCUAAACAAAUUUGCUUGCAAAAUGAAAAGAAAAUCGCACCAGUUUCUCAGCCAAUGCACUCAGAAAAAGCUAUGUGCUUUUUGACUUCUUUUGUCAGUGGCUUGUAGUUUGCCAGGGAAUUCUCAAGGGGAGCAUGCCCCCCCCCAUGUUCACUCCCCUUGUAUUUUUAUUUUUAUUUUUUACAUAAAACAAACAUCCUAUAUUGUCUAUAUUUCAAAUGUUGGACCAGGCCCUUCAUACUUGGACCUCUGGUACAAUAACUACAAUAAAUGAUAUUAGAAACCAUAUUAUAUUUUAGUUGAUUUGACUGCAUGUAAAAGAACACAAAUGUAAACAAUAUAUAUAUAGGUAGAUAAGGAAAAUUCAUAUUUUUAAUUUACUAAAUAACAUCGACAUUUGGGGAAAAGAGACUGCAGACAAGUCAUCAAUCACUUGUGAUAUAACAUUUUACCAAGAAACUCCAUGAGAUCUCAAGAAUAAGAUGUAAUGUAAAUGCCAAACCACCCAAGAAAUAUUGUCUUAUCACAGUAAUAUUAGUCAUGUCAACAUGGACUCACAGGACAGAUACAGCUAAUGCUACCAGGUAACUGUGCACUCAGCAGGCGAAGGCUCACCGCCAUACUAAAUGAAUAGGUAAAUACUCUUUCAAAUGAAUGUAACCGUCUUCAGUCAAGGUCAACUUAUUUCUGACUCGAGGUCGCUGUAUAAGUGCUAUUGAACCAAACUAACCAGUGCUGCUCGGACAGAUUUCACUGUCUCUCGGCUUAUUAAACCAAGGUCUCUCUUCCCUGCUGGGGGCACACAGGCUUGACUGCUUAUUAUGUGUAAGUGAUCACUUACAUUUUCUUUGCUUAUAGUUGCUACAGAAUAAUGUACUACUCUGCUUUCAGAUUUGUUUUAUGCACAAUUUAUUGUUGCCAGAAAUGACUCUUGCUGUUAUGAAUUAUAAAAAAAAAUGAAUAAAACUAAAACUGAUUUGCUCACGCAACUCA